AGUCAUAUGCUUGUCUCAAAGAUUAAGCCAUGCAUGUCUCAGUACAAGCCGCAAUAAGGUGAAACCGCGAAAGGCUCAUUAAAUCAGUUAUGGUUCCUUAGAUCGUACCCACACUUACUUGGAUAACUGUGGUAAUUCUAGAGCUAAUACAUGCAAACAGAGCUCCGACCGGAGACGGGAGGAGUGCUUUUAUUAGAUCAAAACCAAUCGGCGGCGGUGGCGUUCGCGUCGCCGUUCGCCGCUCAACCUGGUGACUCUGAAUAACUUUCCGCUGAUCGCACGGUCUCGCACCGGCGACGCAUCUUUCAAAUGUCUGCCUUAUCAACUGUCGAUGGUAGGUUCUGCGCCUACCAUGGUCGUAACGGGUAACGGGGAAUCAGGGUUCGAUUCCGGAGAGGGAGCCUGAGAAACGGCUACCACAUCCAAGGAAGGCAGCAGGCGCGCAAAUUACCCACUCCCGGCACGGGGAGGUAGUGACGAAAAAUAACGAUACGGGACUCAUCCGAGGCCCCGUAAUCGGAAUGAGUACACUUUAAAUCCUUUAACGAGGACCAAUUGGAGGGCAAGUCUGGUGCCAGCAGCCGCGGUAACUCCAGCUCCAAUAGCGUA
rnacentral:rRNA from 1 species